GGUGUUAAGUACACUCUCCCUGCCCUUGGAUACACAGUUCCUCAUUUGAUAAACAUCUCGCAUGACUGUUUAAUGUGCACUGUACGUUAAUAGCAGCACAGUUGACUUUCAGUUUCUUUAGAUCUGAGGCUGGAAUGGGUAACCUUCUUUUCAAAUUGCCACGAACUAAGUAUUGCUAAGCCAGAAUAAGAUGCCUACAUCAAUACUGCGUAAAAGGUCACCUGACAGUAAUUAUGCAAGUGAAACACAAAAAUCUCAAAGACGAGUGCAUUUUACAGAACCCGAAGCAAUUAUUAUACCUGUAAGAAACCAUCACCACACCUCAAGUUUGCUCCUGCUCUUGAUUAUCACUGUUUGCAUUUUCAUUUUCGCAGUGGCCACAAUCUUGUAUUCUCAUCACAUGCAGAUGGGUUUUCGCUCAUUCAAGUCCAAGUUUCUAAUCUUUACUCUUCAUGUAAAACACAAUGCAGGAUUUAUUUGGAAUCUUUGGAGGAAACAAUAGAAAAAAUACACGAGUGAACACGUGAAGAGCUUGAUGGAAAACACAGUCUAUUUAAGCUGAGGAAUUCUGCGACAUCGGAGAGAUAAUGAAAGAAAAAGGGAUUGUGUGCGCUAUACAAUGUCAACUCAUCUGCUGGUGAAGAAAUUAAAUCAAGACUCUGCCAGAAGACAAAAAAACAUAUUUCUGUUUCUGACAAGUUAUGGAAAUUGUUCAUUUUAAUUAGAGCGCAAAGAACCUUUGGAAUCAAUAAUGAGGAUUAACCAACCAGAUUAGAUAUUCGUCAAAGUCACCCCUAAGUACUACUAAAGAUGCAAAAAUAGAGGCAGGGCAUGGGUGUAAAAUAGACGAAAAAUGAGCUAACAUCGGCACAAUAUGAUGCGAAGCAGAGAUAAAUCAAAUUAUAGGAUAUAUGUUUUUGUUACUAGACAAAAUCCGUGGAUACGCCGGCUCACACCGAGAACCAUAUAUGAAGUAGAUGCAAUCCAUGUUAGAAUAAAACAUAACUUUAUUUGAGAUGGUCUAAGAACAAAGAAAAUGUGGGCACAUAGCAGUGCAAAACCAAAGGAAGCAUAUUCCAACGCGUUUCACGCAACAAGGCACUUAAUCUUAUCAUAUCAUUGGCAUAUGGUUCGUAGGAAGAUGACACUGAUAUUUGAAUUGGAAGCGUUAUCUUGCAUCUAUAUGUGAUGUAUAAAUAUAUCCAGUAAAUGUGGAGUUGUGGAAGUUGACCGCUGACUUGCAAAAUAUAGCUCAAACAAGUCAAAUUGCCUAGCUUCCAGCUAUUUUAGACCAGAGUUUUCAAAUGAGUUUCAAUUCAUCAAUCAUAGCUUACUGAUAAAUUCCUGCACAAGUCCGUUGUAAGACUGAUUGCCACUAUGUGACGUACAUUUGCUUUUUUUCCGGAUAAGUGGCCACAAAUGGUUCUAGCCAAAAGAGUUAAUAAAAAUAUAAAGCAGAUAACUGCUCUAUGAAUACAUUUAGUUUUUCAUUAUCUUUCUUUCCUUUUUUGCUUACACCUUCCGUUAGUUUUGGUACCAUUCCAAAAUUGUUUUAUGCACAACCUCCUAGGUUGUCCAUGAGUCGAUUGUAAAGUACUAGUUUAAAGAGUUAGCAACCUGUUCAUUUUUCCCUAACAUGGGAAAAUUAAA